CCUCACACACCCAACCCCAUCUCAAUGCUGUCCUGUGAUAAAGGACCAUCUCCCCCUCUCCCCAAAGAGAAAGGCUGACAUCUUCACUUGUGGUCCUGGAAUAAGGGACCACUUCCCCCUCCCCAAAGGGAUAGGUGCUUUACUUGUGGUCUUAGGAUAAGGGGCCAAAGCAAGUAUCACUUUGGGAAAGAUGAGAGGAGGGGAAAAAGGUGGGAGUAGCCCUCCAAAGAGGUACUAGGGACCAAGGGGGUGAUUUCAGAACACAAAGCCUUACUUCAGGUCUCCAUCCAGGAGCCCCAAAGAAAUGAGUAGUGGGCAGGGUGGACAGUGGCUUAGACAAUGAGUAUGGGAUAAGAGGUGCAGCGUGGCGCCUUCUUCACCCAGCUUAAUGCUGCAGGCCCCACAUCCACCAGGACCACUACAAAGACAAUCUGCCUGGCCUUGCUACUCUGCAGGGUCUCCUGGC
rnacentral:lncRNA from 1 species